AUGCUGGGUCCCCUUGCCAUCCUGUGUGUUCUCCUGUUUCCCGGCGGUGGAGCAGGGCUCAAGCUGAGUCAGACUGAUUUAUUGGUGGCACGUGUGGGCAGUUCACGUCCUCUGGAUUGCAAAGUGGACACCUGGGUCAGGUACAUCCACUGGUACCGCCAACAGGAGGGUACGGCACCGAAGAGGCUCCUCCACCUAGACAUGUCCAGGUCCCUUGUGCAACGGGAUUUUGUCCUGAAUGCGGACAAAGUCAAUGCCCAGAAGGGCAAGGAUGGCUACAGCUGCACUCUGUCGGUGCUGAAAGUGGAGAAAAAUGAUGAGGGGGUGUACUACUGCGCUGCCUGGGAGCACCGCUCGUGGUACAAAAAAGUGUUUGGUCCUGGCACAUUGCUCAGGGUUACAGAUAAAAGUCCUGAUGAAGCUAUUUCUCCCAAGCCCACAGUUUUUCUUCCUUCAGUUGCUGAAGUAGAAGUCCAUAAGGCUGGAACAUAUCUUUGUCUUCUUGAGGAUUUUUUCCCUGAUGUUAUCAAGGUAGAUUGGCAAGAAAAGGAUGACAAAACAAUUCUGAAGUCUCAGCAGGGAGACACCAUGAAGAAUAAGGACACAUACAUGAAAUUCAGCUGGCUGACCGUGACUGGAGCAUCAAUGGAUAAAGAACACAGAUGUAUUGUCAACCACCAAAGGAAUAACAGAGAAGAUGUUCAAGAGAUUCUUUUUCCUUCAAUUAGCAAAGGCUUGAUGGCUGUGACAGAAUCUGAAAUGGACUCCCAGGGGCAUUCAGAAACAAAGCAAAACAGAGAGGUGGUGACCGUUAGUCCUUUGAAUUCACGAUCUUUCUCACCUGAUCCAAUGGCUGUGGAGCUUGCUGCUAUUAACUCCACAAAAUCUUCUUUGAAUGAUGAAAAUGACACCCUGCAGCUGCAACUUGGGAACACAUCUGCCUACUAUACCUACCUCCUCCUCCUCCUGAAGAGCCUGGUCUACUCCAUCAUCAUCGUCAUCUGUCUGCUUGGGAGACCAGCACUCAGUGGCAGUGGGAAGAGUUCCUAACACAUGGUGGCACAAGGUGUCACUUCUAGCCACUGGCUAGUUUCUCUAAAAGUGUCUGCUGAGGAUCUAGUGAGCCUUCUUUCUGAGAUUGGGUUAUUUCAGUUCACAUGUGUCUUUUUCUUGUGUUGUUAUCUGAGACCAGGCUUACAAACCCCUGGGCAAACAGAAGCUUUCACUCUGCAGCUAGAACAAAUUCCACCAUGACUCCUGGGUGGGGCCAGGGGGCAUCCACAGAGUCUUCUGCACCACCCCCUCAUUGUUGUCCACCAGCUCCCAGCCACCCAGUCCCCAUGCCUCUGGGUAAAACCACCAUACACCUUAGAACUGCAUUCCUUGAACUCUUUAACCAGAUAACUGCCUUGAAGUCUUUAUUUUAAUACCUGGAAGCCAACAUGCU